CCAUGCCGAUGACGGGUCGCUGGUCUGAGAGGACGGCCAGCCAGACUGGGACUGCGACACGGCCCAGACACCUACGGGUGGCAGCAGUCGAGAAUUUUUCUCAAUGGGGGCAACCCUGAAGGAGCGACGCCGCGUGGAGGAUGAAGGUUUUCGGAUUGUAAACUCCUGUCAUUGGUGAACAAAGCUGCCGGUUAACUGCCGUGCAGACUGCUAGUAGCCGAAGAGGAAGGGACGGCUAACUCUGUGCCAGCAGCCGCGGUAAUACAGAGGUCCCGAGCGUUGUUCGGAUUCAUUGGGCGUAAAGGGUGCGUAGGCGGCGGGGCAAGUCUGAUGUGAAAUCCCGGGGCUCAACCCCGGAACUGCAUUGGAUACUGCCUUGCUUGAGUACUGGAGAGGGAACUGGAAUUUACGGUGUAGCAGUGAAAUGCGUAGAGAUCGUAAGGAAGGCCAGUGGCGAAGGCGAGUUCCUGGACAGUUACUGACGCUGAGGCACG
rnacentral:rRNA from 1 species